UGUCUCAGUUCUGUCUUCUGGCCUGGACCUUGGACCAAAGAUGUAACCUUGUCUUCAGCCUACCUCCUACUGCUCCUCGCUGGAUCUGCUGUUUGGACCCUGGACCUGGCCCAUCCUCUUGCUGUGGAUCCUGUUCAAGGGAGCCUGGCUGGGUCUGUGCAGCUCAGAUGCUACAAGACUGUCCUGGCUGGGAGGCAGACCUGGAGGAAGCCUCUAGUGCCAGGCUGCUGUCAUACUCUGUCACUCCCACCCCAUGGACCACACUCUUUUCUGCACUGUGGAGCAGCUGAGGGGAAGACUUCUCAAAUGCAUCAAGCCUGAAAUGCUACUGGCUGUCUGGAGACAUCUACAGAGUCUAUCAUUUCCAGAGGUAGUUGGCACUUGCCUGGGAGAAUAUUGAGUAUAUAACCAGAUUGUAUAUAAAAUUCUGGUUUGGAUCUGUAUGUUUCUUAUGACUUUACUGCAGCCCAGUUGUGCCUUUAAAAUGCUUUUCUUUGUGUUUUUAAAUUUCUAAAAAGCACUCACAAAAAUUAACCCUUAUUUACCCUAAAACACUUAAGUUUAUUUAAUUCUCUAGCUACAAAUGACCUCACACUUUUGGAUUAUGUUUUAUCCUCCUACACAGUUACUAUUCACAUUUUCCUAAAACUGUAUUGAAUUGCUCUUGGGUACCUUCAAGGCUGAAAUCCUAUCACCCUUGCUCAGGUGGGUGACUCCUCAAGCUGCAAACUGUCCCAUUAAUUUCUGACUGCUUCCUCUGCUCAGACAUCUCCUGAGUAAGGGAAUCACAGUCUCUCUGCAAAAUUCUCACACUGACAGCAUUUAAGUCUGAGAAGUCCUGCCAGUAAUCUUCCCCUUUUAAAAGGAAGGAUUCUAUGUCAGAGCCCAGAAUAGAAGACCUACAUUCUAAUCACAUUCUGUUGCAGGCCUUCUGGGUAGCUUCACUGGUUCAGUUAUUACCAAGUGAUUAUUUUUUUGCCUUAUAUGUGAAAACUGUUUCUUCAUGUGACUUAAUAUGAUAUAUGUGACUUAAGAUAUUGGAAUAUGAUAUAUGUAACUUAAGAUAUUGGAGUGAUGARCAUCAAAGGAACUUAUUAUAGAAAGAGGAAUCCAGCUGCUGUGCUGCUCAGCUCUGUUGUCAAACCAGUGUAUAUGUCCACUUUUUGCUACUGCUUCAGAGAAACAAUGCAGAAAGUCCUGUUACACAGUGCAGAGCCUUAGGCUGGGUCAGGCAGAUGUAGUAAAACCUGAUAACARAGAGAACUUUGACCCUGUCUUAAAAUGUUUAUUAUACAGCACAGUAAGUUUCCUUGUAGCACCGAAGUUUGAAUCAACCCUGUUAGACCUCACUUACCCCAGUGAGACUCCUUUGAAUUAGCACACUUAUAUGUGAGACUGAAAAAAAGCAUCUCAAAAAUUAGCGUUGGGUGGCUUGRUAUAGUAGAAUCCAUAUUUAAAUACUCAAUAGAAAGGGCUAAUUCCAGAUGUGCUAAGCAAUCUUCACUGUUUAGAAGGAAAGGAAUUGGUGGUGGUCAGUAGGUAUCAAAAGCGUUCUUUAUUCAGGUGUCAARAUAUUUCUUUAGUAUCUAUUCAUUAUGACUAAAAUACCUAAAUAUUGAAGCAAUUAGGGAUUAUUUGGAGAUAAUAAGCAUGAGAAACUAAACUCAUGUAAUAUAAAUAUACURUAUUUGGAACAAUCCCUAAGAUGUUGAUGUAUUUUACCAAGCAGUCCCUGCCUUGUGUCUAUUCUGUAGCAGCAGUAUGAGSAUAACUUCUCACAGAAAAGUUGUCUUUCUAGUUCUUUAUAAUUAUCCUUUGUCAAAUUUCUUGUGUUUAUAUUGAUUAAAGUCUUUCAGUUUUGUCUGUAGCUGAAGC